ACGUCCCUGCCAUUUGUACACACCGCCCGUCGUUGUUUCCGAUGAUGGUGCAAUACAGGUGAUCGGACAGUCGAGUGCUUCACUUGACCGAAAGUUCACCGAUAUUUCUUCAAUAGAGGAAGCAAAAGUCGUAACAAGGUAGCUGUAGGUGAACCUGCAGCUGGAUCAUUU
rfam:Trypanosoma cruzi marinkellei strain B7 TcMARK_CONTIG_13137, whole genome shotgun sequence.